AUAUUUACCUGACAGGGGAGAUACCAUGAUCAAGAAAGUGGUUCACCCAGGGCAAGGCUUGGCCAUUGCACUCCGGCCAAAAGACCCCUGCGAAUUCCUCAAAUGUGGUAAUCUUGACUGCAUAAUUUCUGGUAGUGGGGCUCUCCCCUG
ensembl:snRNA U1 U1 spliceosomal RNA